GCUACUCCUGUUUCCCACCCACUUUAUCUUCCUUAAGCUUACCAUGAUUUAAUGGGGGAGAGAGGGCCCUUUUCCAAUGAGUAAAAAAAGGGGGGGAGGCUUUUAGAGCCACUGGACUACUAGCUGGGUGGGAAGAUUGAAUGGAUGGGCAAAGGGUGGGUGGGUAGGAAGCGAAACUCAUUUCCAAUAACCUAAUUCCACCCACCCACCCCCCUUCAAUAGACACACACACACAGCAUUUUUCCCUUUUAAAACGCCGUGUGGGGUAACUUUAACGAGCUUGUGUGUAUUGACAUUUACUACAUGUUUUAUGAAGGGGGAAGCUUUCAGGGCAGGCAGCGUUAAGGCAAGAAGAUUCCUCCCUCCUCAUCUCUUCUUUCCCCUCCUGCGGCGGACUUGUCCCUUUGUGGCUUGCAAAUGGGCGCUUUCAAUUAAAAAAAAGAAACCUAGAGCAAGAGGAGGAGGAGGAAGGGAGAGAGAGAGAGAGAGAGAGAGAGAAAUGGCAGACAUUCCAGGGCGAGCCAUUGGUUUUGUUCUCCUCGCUGACGGCCUUUGUCCUGAACUCCCUUACCCCCCUCUGUUACCACAGUAAUGAGAAAGUAUGGCCACCCCGGUCUUAUUACCAUAUCAAUCUCCUCUUGCCCUGCCUGAGUCAGCCGAAGAGGGGGAAAGGGGGGCAUAGAGGCUGCGAGGAGGCGGGAAAGGGAGAGGGGAGCACCCUCCAUAAUUUAGGGGGCAUCCGGCAUCACUUUUGCUUUGACACCAAACCUAGCGCUCUCUCUUUCCUCCUAUGUCCCACCCCCGCUUACUUCCUAAGAAAGGCCCCCUCUCCUUCCUUCCUUCCUUCCUUUUUAUUUAUUUAUUUAUCUAUUUAUUUCCUCCUCCUCCCUCCGCCCAGAGCCCUUGGCAAGGAUGGAGCGCAGGUAAAGCUCCCCUUUGAUGCCAUUCGCGGCUGCUCAUUGGCUGGCUGGCGGGCCGGCGGUGCCUGCCACUGGCCGCUUUGUUCUCUCGGACGGAACGUUCCCCUGCCGGCCGCGCGGCUCUUGAGCGGCAGCAGCAGCAGCCGCAGCUCCUACUAUGUGAAAGGGAAAGAGAGACAGAGACAGGCAGAGAGAGAGAUAGAAGCACCGCGCCGGAGAGAGUUGCGAGGAGAAGGAAUGACAGAAAGAGCUCGUUACUGCAGGCUGCAAAAUAACAGCGGGGAGGAAGGGAGGGAGGAAGAGCGCGCCAGAGAGCGGCCCCACUCCCUCUCCCUGCCAGAGUGCCCGGCAGAAGCGGCGGCAGCGCAAGGGCAGGUGGAGAGGAGGGGGGGGGUCGCACUCCCUUCUUCCCCUCAGCAGCAGAAGACAAGGCGGCGGAGGCGGCGGCAGCAACCGGGGCUGGCCGCGAAGGCGCUCAAGGGAAUUGUUUCUCAUGGAUCAAUACCAUGUAAAAUUCACUCAGGAGCCAUAUACAACAAUACUUAUGGGAAAUACACAUAUAUAUGGGAGCAGAAUAGCGGAUAGAGAUUUUGCAAGUAACUCUGGCUUUGCUGGCUGUGGGAAUACUG
ensembl:lncRNA